UGGCCCCUUCCCCUUCCUAAAAUCAAACCACCAAUAGAUGAUUAACUAGUUUCCUUCUCCAAGGUACAACAUCCCCACACUCAACCUUACACUUUCACACUCCAUCAUCAUUUCUCUUACACUUCCAAUACACACACACAACUCUCUUUCUCUCCAAAAACACUUUUCUUCUUCUUUUUCCUGGAAAUUUUCAGAUUUAAAAGAGCAAUAAAACAAGAACAUAAAUCAAAUUUAAGCAAUAAUAAUAAUAAGGUUUUUAUAGGAUUAAACAAGGGUUAUUCCAAGCAAGGUUUAAGGGUUGUUUAAAGCAAAGAAUAAGGGUAUUUUUGGGGUUAGAAGGCCAUGAAAAUCUGCACCAUUUUCAUCAUCUAAAAGUGUUCUUCAAGGGCUUGCUUAAGGGGCGAAACCACUAGGCACUCUUCACGCAUUUGAACAGCUCUCUAUCGCUCUCAAACAAGUUUAGAGCAUUAGGUUCAUAGCUUGGACCGCCUCUUGGAUUUGUGUUGCUUGUUAUUCGGUGGACUUGUAAUGCGGACAGUUUGUUUUUCAUUAAGGAUUAUGGUUAUGUAAUGGAUGCUAAAUACGACAUUGUUGAAC